rnacentral:rRNA from 1 species
GGAGGCAGCAGUGAGGAAAAGGGUCAAUGGGCGAGAGCCUGAACAGCCAUCCCGCGUGAGGAAGAAUUCCCUAUGGGUUGUAAACUGCUUUUUCCCAUGAAGAACACCUUUGACGUGUCAGAGGCUGACGGUAAUGCGUGAAUAAGCACCGGCUAACUCCGUGCCAGCAGCCGCCGUAUACGGAGGGUGCAAGCGUUGAUUCCCGAAUUUAUUGGGUUUAAAGGGUGCGUAGGCGGCUAAUUAAGUCAGUGGUGAAAUCCUGCAGCUCAACUGUAGAACAGCCAUUGAAACUGAAUAGCUUGAGUAAUCUUGAGGUAAGCGGAAUGUGUAGUGUAGCGGUGAAAUGCCUAGAUAUUACACAGAACACCGAUUGCGAAGGCAGCUUACUAAGGAUUCACUGACGCUGAUGCACGAAAGCGUGGGGAUCAAACAGGAUUAGAUACCCUGGUAGUCCACGCCGUAAACGAUGAUAACUCGCUGUUGGCGAUACACAGUCAGCGGCUUAGCGAAAGCGUUAAGUUAUCCACCUGGGGAGUACGCUCGCAAGAGUGAAACUCAAAGGAAUUGACGGGGGCCCGCACAAGCGGAGGAACAUGUGGUUUAAUUCGAUGAUACGCGAGGAACCUUACCUGGGCUUAAAUGUGCUGUGACCGCCGGAGAAAUUUGGCUUUUCGCAAGAACAGAGUACCAAGGUGCUGCAUGGUUGUCGUCAGCUCGUGCCGUGAGGUGUCGGGUUAAGUCCCAUAACGAGCGCAACCCCUUAUUGUCAGUUGCUAACAGGUCAUGCUGAGGACUCUGGCGAGACUGCCACCGUAAGGUGUGGAGGAAGGUGGGGAUGAACGUUCAAAUCAGCACGCCCUUUUUGUUCCAGGCUAAACACGUGUUACAAUGGCCAGUACAAAGGGCAGCUACCGGGCGACCGGAUGCUAAUCUCUAAAGCUGGUCUCAGUUCGGAUCGAAGUCUGCCACCCGACUUCCUGAAGCUGGAUUCCCCUAUAAUCCCGCCCAUCAGCCAUGGCCCGGUGAAUACGUUUCCCGGGCCUUGUACCCCCCGAU